rnacentral:rRNA from 1 species
AGAGUUUGAUCCUGGCUCAGGAUGAACACUAGCGGCAGGCUUAACACAUGCAAGUCGAAGGGCAUCGCGGGGAGUGCUUGCACUCCCUGGCGGCGACUGGCGCACGGGUGAGUAACACGUAUGCAACCUGCCCUCCACAGGGGGACAACCUUCCGAAAGGGAGGCUAAUCCCGCGUAAAUCUCGAUGGGGCAUCCCAUUGAGAGGAAAGCUUCGGCGGUGGAGGAUGGGCAUGCGGCGCAUUAGCUAGUCGGCGGGGUAACGGCCCACCGAGGCGACGAUGCGUAGGGGUUCUGAGAGGAAGGUCCCCCACACUGGUACUGAGACACGGACCAGACUCCUACGGGAGGCAGCAGUGAGGAAUAUUGGUCAAUGGGCGGGAGCCUGAACCAGCCAAGCCGCGUGAGGGAAUAAGGCCCUAUGGGUCGUAAACCUCUUUUGUCGGGGAACAAAAGCGGGGACGCGUCCCCGUCUGCGUGUACCCGAAGAAAAAGCAUCGGCUAACUCCGUGCCAGCAGCCGCGGUAAUACGGAGGAUGCGAGCGUUAUCCGGAUUUAUUGGGUUUAAAGGGUGCGUAGGCGGUAUGGUAAGUCAGCGGUAAAAGCCCGGGGCUCAACCCCGGCGAGCCGUUGAAACUGCCGUGCUAGAGAGGAAGAGAAGUAGGCGGAAUGCGCAGUGUAGCGGUGAAAUGCUUAGAUAUUGCGCAGAACUCCGAUUGCGAAGGCAGCCUACCGGCUUCUGUCUGACGCUGAGGCACGAAAGCGUGGGUAUCGAACAGGAUUAGAUACCCUGGUAGUCCACGCAGUAAACGAUGAAUGCC